rnacentral:rRNA from 1 species
UACGAAGGGGGCUAGCGUUGCUCGGAAUUACUGGGCGUAAAGCGCACGUAGGCGGCUUUUUUAAGUCGGGGGUGAAAUCCUGGAGCUCAACUCCAGAACUGCCUUCGAUACUGGAAAGCUCGAGUCCGGGAGAGGUGAGUGGAACUGCGAGUGUAGAGGUGAAAUUCGUAGAUAUUCGCAAGAACACCAGUGGCGAAGGCGGCUCACUGGCCCGGUACUGACGCUGAGACGCGAAAGCGUGGGGAGCGAACAGG